UACGUAGGGUGCAAGCGUUAAUCGGAAUUACUGGGCGUAAAGCGUGCGCAGGCGGUUUUGUAAGUAUGAUGUGAAAUCCCCGGGCUCAACCUGGGAAUUGCAUUGGAGACUGCAAGGCUAGAAUCUGGCAGAGGGGGGUAGAAUUCCACGUGUAGCAGUGAAAUGCGUAGAGAUGUGGAGGAACACCGAUGGCGAAGGCAGCCCCCUGGGUCAAGAUUGACGCUCAUGCACGAAAGCGUGGGGAGCAAACAGG
rnacentral:rRNA from 1 species